UACAGAGACCUCAAGCGUUAUCCGGAAUCAUUGGGCGUAAAGCGUACCGAUAGGUGGUUUAGAAAGUCAGAAGUGAAAUCUCCGAGCUUAACUCGGAAUCUGUCUUUUGAAACUUCUAAACUAGAGGGGCAAAGAGGAAGCUGGAACGAACGGUGUAGUAGUGAAAUGCGUUGAUAUCGUUCGGAACACCAAUAGCGUAGGCAGGCUUCUGGGUGCCACCUGACACUGCUAGGACGAAAGCGUGGGUAGCGAAUGGG
rnacentral:rRNA from 1 species